GUCAGCGCCAGGCAUGAACGCUGCCUACGCACUUGCUGAUUGCUCCCGAGACUAGCCCGGAAGGGAACAGCCUCAGGCUGGCAAACCUUGUAGCUGCCUGGCCUUGAGACCAAAGAAACAGCCUGGAGACAGUGACAUCAGUGGUUUAUUGGACAGGGGAUCUUAUGAAAACAGACUUGGAGCCACAUCCCACCACGUGCAGCAAAUGAUUCCUUACUGUGUGAGCCACCAGGAAAGCCCACAGAUAUAUGUACAUGAAGUUUCUUGUUACUAGUGAAGAAAGAGUUCAUAGGGCCUGUACUCAAUCUGAGGCCUGUCCGUGCUGAUCGUGCUCGGCCACCUCUCCAGUGGACUCUGAACUCUGCUUAGUGCCUGUGGGAACGACAAUGGAAGGAUAAGACCCCUUCUGGACAGGGGAACCUUGAAGAUCGUAUCCAGGUUACUCAUCGCCUAAGAGAAAACAUACUCUAAUCACCCCUGCCUCCGGACAGUAUCUAUCGGAAUGUAACCACAGGCUUAUUGGUUAUUAACUGGUUGGAAUGUAAUCGCAGGCUUAUUGAUUAUUAACUGUUUGAACACAUAACAUGUGAAUGAUGGGGUUAUUGUGAUUGUAUUUACCCUUCCUUUGUAAGCCUCAAGGGAUUUGGGGUGGUGGGUUUGGACACGUACACAUGGGGUAUAAAAGAUUUUCACAAAUGCUGGUUGGGGUCCUUGGCCAAGAAGAGACUCUGCCUUGAGCC